ACUCAAAGGAAUUGACGGGGGCCCGCACAAGCGGUGGAGUAUGUGGUUUAAUUCGAUGCAACGCGCAGAACCUUACCUGGCCUUGACAUGUCGCGAAUCCUUGAGAGAUCAGGGAGUGCCUUCGGGAACGCGAACACAGGUGCUGCAUGGCUGUCGUCAGCUCGUGUCGUGAGAUGUUGGGUUAAGUCCCGCAACGAGCGCAACCCUUGUCCUUAGUUGCCAGCGAGUAAAGUCGGGAACUCUAAGGAGACCGCCGGUGACAAACCGGAGGAAGGUGGGGAUGACGUCAAGUCCUCAUGGCCCUUACGGCCAGGGCUACACACGUACUACAAUGGUCGGUACAAAGGGUUGCCAAGCCGCGAGGUGGAGCCAAUCCCAGAAAACCGAUCUCAGUCCGGAUCGCAGUCUGCAACUCGACUGCGUGAAGUCGGAAUCGCUAGUAAUCGCGGAUCAGCAAUGCCGCGGUGAAUACGUUCCCGGGCCUUGUACACACCGCCCGU
rnacentral:rRNA from 1 species